rnacentral:rRNA from 1 species
GACGUAGGGUGCGAGCGUUGUCCGGAUUUAUUGGGCGUAAAGAGCUCGUAGGCGGCUCGUCGCGUCGACCGUGAAAACCCGCGGCUUAACUGCGGGCUUGCGGUUGAUACGGGCGGGCUAGAGUUCGGUAGGGGAGACUGGAAUUCCUGGUGUAGCGGUGAAAUGCGCAGAUAUCAGGAGGAAUACCGGUGGCGAAGGCGGCAUCCUGGACCGACAUUGACGCUGAUGAGCGAAAGCUAGGGGAGCAAACGGG